rnacentral:rRNA from 1 species
AGAGUUUGAUCAUGGCUCAGAACGAACGCUGGCGGCGUGCUUAACACAUGCAAGUCGAACGAGAACGUUCCCUUCGGGGAAUUAGUAAAGUGGCGCACGGGUUAGUAACACGUGGAUAACCUGCCUCUAGGCGAGGGACAACAUGUCGAAAGACGUGCUAAUACCUCAUAAGACCACAGAAUCUUCGGGUUCAGGGGUUAAAGGUGGCUUUUAGUUGCUGCCAAGAGAUGGGUCCGCGCACCAUUAGCUUGUUGGUGAGGUAACGGCUCACCAAGGCUCAGAUGGUUAGCUGGUCUGAGAGGACGACCAGCAACACUGGAACUGAGACACGGUCCAGACUCCUACGGGAGGCAGCAGUGGGGAAUAUUGGACAAUGGGCGAAAGCCUGAUCCAGCAACGCCGCGUGAGUGAUGAAGGCCCUCGGGUUGUAAAGCUCUGUCAGUGGGAACGAAUCUAGCUGUUAACAGCAGCUACUGACGGUACCCGCAAAGGAAGCACCGGCUAACUCCGUGCCAGCAGCCGCGGUAAUACGGAGGGUGCAAGCGUUGUUCGGAAUCACUGGGCGUAAAGGGCGUGUAGGCGGUGAUGUGUGUCCGACGUGAAAGUCCUCGGCUCAACUGAGGAAGGGCGUCGGAAACUACAUUACUCGAGUACGAGAGAGGAUGGCAGAAUUCCCAGAGUAGAGGUGAAAUUCGUAGAUACUGGGAGGAAUACCUGAGGCGAAGGCGGCCAUCUGGCUCGUAACUGACGCUGAGACGCGAAAGCGUGGGUAGCGAACAGGAUUAGAUACCCUGGUAGUCCACGCUGUAAACGAUGAUAACUAGGUGUUGGGAGAAUUGACCCUCAUCAGCGCCGAAGCUAACGCAUUAAGUUAUCCGCCUGGGGAGUACGGUCGCAAGACUAAAACUCAAAGGAAUUGACGGGGGCCCGCACAAGCGGUGGAGUAUGUGGUUUAAUUCGACGCAACGCGAAGAACCUUACCUGGGCUAGACAUCAACCGGACGACUUGCAGAAACGUAGGUUUUCGUCUUCGGAUGACCGGUUGACAGGUGCUGCAUGGCUGUCGUCAGCUCGUGUCGUGAGAUGUUGGGUUAAGUCCCGCAACGAGCGCAACCCUUGUCCCUUGUUGCCAUCAUUAAGUUGGGAACUCUAGGGAGACUGUCGGUGUCAAACCGGAGGAAGGUGGGGAUGACGUCAAGUCCUCAUGGCCCUUGACGCCCAGGGCUACACACGUACUACAAUGGCCGGUACAAAGUGCAGUGAACCCGCGAGGGGGAACUAAUCGCAAAAAGCCGGCCUCAGUUCGAAUUGAAGGCUGCAACUCGCCUUCAUGAAGUUGGAAUCGCUAGUAAUCGCGGAUCAGCAGGCCGCGGUGAAUACGUUCUCGGGCCUUGUACACACCGCCCGUCACACCACGAAAGCUAAUUGGACCAGAAGUCGUGAGGUUUUCUUGCGCCCAAGGUCUGAUCAGUGAUUGGGGUGAAGUCGUAACAAGGUA